rnacentral:rRNA from 1 species
ACGUAGGGUGCGAGCGUUAAUCGGAAUUAUUGGGCGUAAAGCGUGCGCAGGCGGUCCUGUAAGUCAGAUGUGAAAUCUCGGGGCUCAACUCCGAAACUGCGUUUGAAACUACAGGUCUAGAAUCUCGGAGAGGGAUGGGGAAUUUCACAUGUAGGGGUAAAAUCCGUAGAUAUGUGAAGGAACACCAGAGGCGAAGGCG